GCCUUCGUGGUGUAGUGAUCAUCCCGUUCGACGCGUAUUCGAGAGAUCUGUGGUUCAAAUCCCGGUGAGGGCA
rnacentral:tRNA from 1 species